GACGAACGCUGGCGGCGUGCUUUAUACAUGCAAGUCGAACGAUGAAGUUCCUUCGGGAAUGGAUUAGUGGCGAACGGGUGAGGAACACGUGAGAAACCUGCCUUUCAUUCUGGGAUAACACCGGGAAACCGGUGCUAAUACCGGAUACUCCAUCUUGGCGGCAUCGCCGAGCUGGGAAAAAAUUUUGAUGAAAGAUGGUCUCGCGGCCUAUCAGCUAGUUGGUGAGGUAAAGGCUCACCAAGGCGACGACGGGUAGCCGGCCUGAGAGGGCAACCGGCCACACGGGGACUGAGACACGGACCAGACUCCAGCGGGAGGCAGCAGUAGGGAAUAUUGGGCAAUGGGCGAAAGCCUGACCCAGCGAAGCCGCGUGAGGGAUGAAGGUCUUCGGAUUGUAAACCUCUUUCAGUAGGGAAGAAGCGAAAGUGACGGUACCUAAAAAAGAAGCACCGGCUAACUAUGUGCCAGCAGCCGCAGUAA
rnacentral:rRNA from 1 species